rnacentral:ncRNA from 1 species
AAAGUGAGGUCAUUGUGAUUUGGACAGGCCAAUUUGUUAGUUGCCAGUGCUCAGGGAGAAAAUGCAUGGGAACUGAAUUGACGACCACCAAGUGGAAACUUUAUAAGUAGGAAAGAAAUAAAAAUACAACUUAUUUUUUCAAUACAGAAAUACAACUUCUUAUGAGAACUCUAAGCUAUAGGAUUUCAAUUCUAUGUGCCCAACAUCUAAGGCUAUGAUCAGUAGCUGGUCUCAGAGGAUGAUUAGCCACGCUAAGACCGAGACACGGCCCGGAUUUCUACGGGAGGCAGCAGUGGAGAAUUUUUGGCAAUGGGUGAAAGCCUCACGAAGCAAUGCCGCGUGGAGGUGGAAGACCUACGGGUCGCCAAGUUCUUUUCUCGGAGAAGAAACAAUGACGAUAUCUGAGGAAUAAACAUCGGCUAACUCCGUGCCAGCAUCCGGAAUGUGGGCGUAAAGAGUCUGUAAGUGGUUUUUCCAGUCCGAUGUCAAAUCCUAGGGCUCAACCUUGGACAGCGGUGGAAACUACAAAGCUAGAGUACCGCAGGGGCAGAGAGAAUUUCCGUUGGAGCGCCAAAAGCUCAUCUAAAAACCACAAUCGACAAAUAUGUUGCAUGAAUGCAAGCAUGCUAUUUUUUCUGAUUAAUGCACAUGGCUAAGUAAAAGUUAAAAUAAACUCCUUA